UACGGGGGGGGCAAGCGUUGUUCGGAAUUACUGGGCGUAAAGGGCGCGUAGGCGGCUUGGUAAGUCAGGUGUGAAAGCCCGAGGCUCAACCUCGGAAAGUCAUUUGAUACUAUCAAGCUAGAGUGCAGAAGAGGCAGUUGGAAUUCCUGGUGUAGCGGUGAAAUGCGUAGAUAUCAGGAAGAACAUCGGUGGCGAAGGCGGACUGCUGGGCUGACACUGACGCUGAGGCGCGAAAGCUAGGGGAG
rnacentral:rRNA from 1 species